GAGUGGCAGACGGGUGAGUAACGCGUAGGUAAUGUACCUCUUCGCUGGGGAUACCUAUCCGAAAGGAUAGCUAAUACCGAAUGAACUUAUUGAACGGCAUCGUUUGAUUCGUAAACCUCCGGGGCGAAGAGAUCAGCUUGCGUACUAUCAGCUAGUAGGUGGGGUAACGGCCUACCUAGGCUACGACGGUUAGCCGGUCUGAGAGGAUGAUCGGCCACAUUGGAACUGAAACACGGUCCAGACUCCUACGGGAGGCAGCAGUGAGGAAUCUUGCGCAAUGGGCGAAAGCCUGACGCAGCGACACCGCGUGAGGGAUGAAGGUCUUCGGAUUGUAAACCUUUGUCAGUGGGGACGAGAACGGACGGUACCUACUGAGGAAGCAUCGGCUUACUACGUGCCGGCAGCCGCGGUAAUACGUAGGAUGCAAGCGUUGUCCGGAAUUACUGGGCGUAAAGAGCUCGUAGGCGGGAAGGUACGUUUGGAAGUAAAUCUCACGGCUCAACUGUGAGCUCAUUCCAAAUACGGCUUUUCUUGAGGGCAGCAGGGGAGAAUGGAAUUCCCAGUGUAGCGGUGAAAUGCGUAGAUAUUGGGAAGAAUACCGGUGGCGAAGGCGAUUCUCUGGGCUGUGACUGACGCUGAGGAGCGAAAGCGUGGGUAGCGAACGGGAUUAGAUACCCCGGUAGUCCACGCUGUAAACGAUGGAUGCUAGACGUGUGGGGUAUCGACCCCCUGCGUGUCGCAGCUAACGCAUUAAGUAUUCCACCUGGGGAGUACGUUCGCAAGAAUGAAACUCAAAGGAAUUGACGGGGACCCGCACAAGCGGUGGAGCAUGUGGUUUAAUUCGAAGCAACGCGAAGAACCUUACCAAGUCUUGACAUCCUUCUGACCGUCCCUUAGCCGGGACUUCUCUUCGGAGCAGAAGUGACAGGUGGUGCAUGGUUGUCGUCAGCUCGUGUCGUGAGAUGUUGGGUUAAGUCCCGCAGCGAGCGCAACCCUUAUUGCUAGUAGCCAGCGGUUCGGCCGGGCACUCUAGUGAGACUGCCGGAGACAAUCCGGAGGAAGGUGGGGAUGACGUCAAAUCAUCAUGCCCCUUAUGACCUGGGCCACACACGUGCUACAAUGGACGGGACAGAGGGAAGCGAAGGCGCGAGCCGGAGCGGACCCCAGAAACCCGCUCCCAGUUCGGACUGCAGUCUGCAACUCGACUGCACGAAGCCGGAAUCGCUAGUAAUCGCGGAUCAGCAUGCCGCGGUGAAUACGUUCUCGGGCCUUGCACACACCGCCCGUCA
rnacentral:rRNA from 1 species